GCAUUCAUUACAAAUCGUGUCCACAGCCCGCUUCCCAGCUUCCAACUUCCACCUCCAGGGGAGGACUGGGGGCUGGAGAUUGCAUUAAUUUCCAAUGGCCAGUGGUUUAAUCAAUCAUGACUAAGUAAUGAGCCUCCGUAAAAACCAGAGCUUCCGGUCUGGUGAACACACGGAGGUCCUGGAAAUGGUGGCGCGCCCAGAGGGCAUGGAAGCUCCGCGCCCCUUCCCACAGACCUUGUCCCGUGCAUCGCUUCCAUCCGGCUCUUCCUGAGUUCUGGCCCUUGUAGUAAACCUGCAGUCUUGAUCAAUUUUCUCUCAGGAGGCUCUUCAUUGACUCAUGCAAACAGAUUUCUGGCGGGAACUGCUCCAAGGCCUUCCAGAUGUGCACAGGCAUGGAUGAAUCAGAGCAGAAGUGGACAGAUGUAGCUCAAAUGGAGGGUUCUGCUAUAAUCUCAAUAAGUAUCCAGGCUGGAGUGCAGUGGCGCGAUCUCGGCUCACUGAAACCUCUGCCUCCCAGGUUCAAGCGAUUCUCCUGCCUCAGCCUCUCGAAUAGCUGGGAUUACAGGCAACUACCAUUUUUCCCCCUCUGUCUUUUGAUGUUCACCUGACAAGCUCCUGGUGGUAGCCGGUAGCUCUGACAGAGAGCAAAAGAAAUAAGGGGCGGUUUUAGCUGAUAACCUCACCAGUCUUCACUUCGGCUCUUCCUUCGCUGCCCCUUCAGCUGCGGGGAACUUGCUCUAGGGCAUCUUGGCAGGAGGGAGGGCGUCUGAGGGUACUGGUGCCUGCAGACUUCAAGCACGGAGAGACUUCUUGAAGCGGUGCUGCCUGGCCACUUGGAAAAAGGUGGAUUAAUUUGGGGAUAUCCGAGGAGCCCCAGAGGGCCAUUGUAAUUCAAGAUCUUCAGUAAACUUCUGCCGCGGAGAAAGAACCCGGCCAGUAUUGGGACCAUCGUGGUGACGCAGGAUUGGAGGAACAGGGGUUUCGGUUGACUGAGAAGUUCCUGUGAGAGAAACAGGCUCAAAUAGAGAGAAUAGAAAGAUGUCGUGAGGAGCCAGGAAACAAAAUUUUCCAGGGGUCAGGGAAUGAAUUCUAAUCAGAACAAGGAGCCAGCAAGAACUUCCAGCCUAGGAGGUACUUUUCAAAAGAAGCCUGGGACUCUAACCCAGCUUCUGAGAGUAUACUCAGAAUUGUUAAGAAUCAGGCAGGGCGCGGCGGCUCAUGCCUGUAAUCCCAGCACUUUGGGAGGCUGAGGCGGGUGGAUCACUUGAGGUCCGGAGUGUGAGAUCAGCCUGACUAACAAGAUGAAACCCCAUCUCUACUAAAAAAAUACAAAAUUAGCUGGGCGUCGUAGCGCAUGCCUGUAAUCCCAGCUACUUGGGAGGCUGAGGCAGGAGAAUUGCUUGAACCCAGGAGGUGGAGGUUGCAGUGAGCCAAGAUCGCGCCCUUGCACUCCAGCCUGGGCAACAAGAGUGAAACUCUGCCUCGGAGGGAAAAAAAAAAAAAAA
rnacentral:antisense_RNA from 1 species